GCCCCCAUCGUCUAGCGGCCCAGGACACAGCCCUUUCAAGGCUGCGGCGAGGGUUCGAAUCCCUCUGGGGGCG
rnacentral:tRNA from 1 species